CACGUGAGGGCGCAAGCGUUGUCCGGAAUUUAUUGGGUACGGUAAGAGCUCGGUAGGCGGUCUGUGCGAUCGCGUGUCGAAACUGGGCUACCCGAGCCUGCAGUGGAUACGGGCAGACUAGAGGUAGGUAGGGGAGAAGUGGAAUUCCGGUGUAGCGGUGAAAAUGCGCAGAUAUCGGGAGGAACACCGGUGGCGAAGGCGGUUCUCUGGGC
rnacentral:rRNA from 1 species